GUGCUCACUUUGGCAGCACAUAUUCUAAAAUUGAAAAGAUACAGAGAAGAUUAGCAUGGCCCCUGCACAAGGAUGACACGCAAAUUUGUGAAGUGUUCCAUAUUUUU
ensembl:snRNA U6 U6 spliceosomal RNA